AUUGAACGCUGGCGGCAGGCUUAACACAUGCAAGUCGAACGAGUGGCGGACGGGUGAGUAAUGCUUGGGAAUCUGGCUUAUGGAGGGGGAUAACUACGGGAAACUGUAGCUAAUACCGCGUACCAUAGGAUGAGCCCAAGUGGGAUUAGGUAGUUGGUGAGGUAAAGGCUCACCAAGCCGACGAUCUCUAGCUGGUCUGAGAGGAUGACCCGCCAAACUGGGAAUGGGGCCCGGCCCAGACUCCCUCGGGGGGGCGCAGUGGGGAAUUUUGGGCCAAGGGGGCAACCUGACGCAGCCAUGCCGCGUGAAUGAAGAAGGCCUUCGGGUUGUAAAGUUCUUUCGGUAGCGAGGCGUUAACUACAGAAGAAGCACCGGCUAACUCCGUGCCAGCAGCCGCGGUAAUUC
rnacentral:rRNA from 1 species